AAUAGAUACCCCGGUAGUCCACGCCGUAAACGUUGGGCACUAGGUGUGGGGCCGUACCAAUCGGUUCCGUGCCGCAGCUAACGGCAUUAAGUGCCCCGCCUGGGGAGUACGGCCGCAAGGCUAAAAACUCAAAGGAAUUGACGGGGGCCCGCACAAGCAGCGGAGCAUGUUGCUUAAUUCGAGGCAACGCGAAGAACCUUACCUGGGCUUGACAUGCAGGGAAAAGCCGUAGAGAUACGGUGUCCUUCGGGGCCUUGCACAGGUGGUGCAUGGCUGUCGUCAGCUCGUGUCGUGAGAUGUUGGGUUAAGUCCCGCAACGAGCGCAACCCUUGUCCUAUGUUGCCAGCGGGUAAUGCCGGGGACUCGUAGGAGACUGCCGGGGUCAACUCGGAGGAAGGUGGGGACGACGUCAAGUCAUCAUGCCCCUUAUGUCCAGGGCUGCAAACAUGCUACAAUGGCCAGUACAAAGGGCUGCGAAACUGCGAGGUCGAGCGAAUCCCAUAAAGCUGGUCUCAGUUCGGAUUGGAGUCGUGCAACUCCG
rnacentral:rRNA from 1 species